UUCCUCUGAGUAGUCUCCCAUACCUUCCCCA
rnacentral:piRNA from 1 species